UAUCUCUCCGUACGGGAAGGAUGAGAAGCUUCGACUAAGGUUCGAUUCGAGCGCAGCGAGAACGCGUUGCCGCAGGCAACGACCCGAAGGGCGAAGCGCGCAGCGCUGAGUCAUCCUUCCCCCACCACC
rnacentral:sRNA from 1 species